UACAUUUUUAUUAUUAAUCCAUCUGGGACCAUGAUAUCUAAACGAGAGUUAACACGUUUAUAAAAUUAUAGAACCAGUCAUUUUGACUGAUGUGGUAUUUGUAAUGUUAAUAUCUAACGAUCGAUUCGGAAUUUUCCUGAUUACUGAUAUCAUCAUAUCGAAUGAUACGCAGUAAAAAUUUUAAAAACGUGUGGGAAGUUGUACAAAACGAGGAAACUGGUUAAUUGAGGUUCAAUAAACAGAUUGCAAUCAUUUUGACUGGUAUUGGUAUAGUAAG
rnacentral:misc_RNA from 1 species